rnacentral:rRNA from 1 species
UACGUAGGGUGCAAGCGUUGUCCGGAAUUAUUGGGCGUAAAAGAGCUCGUAGGCGGUCUGUCGCGUCUGCUGUGAAAACUCAGGGCUUAACUGGGAGGGGUCAGCAGAUACUGUCGGGCUUGAGGCAGGUAGAGGAAGGUGGAAUUCCCGGUGUAGUGGUGAAAUGGCGUAGAUAUCGGGAGGAAGCACCAGUGGCGAAGGCGACUCUUG